rnacentral:rRNA from 1 species
AAUCAACGCUGGCGGCGUGCCUAACACAUGCAAGUCGAACGCGAAAGCCCCGCAAGGGGUGAGUAGAGUGGCAAACGGGUGAGUAACACGUGGGUGACCUGCCUUAGAGUGGGGGAUAACGUCCCGAAAGGGACGCUAAUACCGCAUAACAUCCUGCCUUUGAAGAGGUGGAGAUCAAAGCCGGGGACCGCAAGGCCUGGCGCUCAAAGAGGGGCCCGCGCCUGAUUAGCUAGUUGGUGGGGAAUGGCUCACCAAGGCAACGAUCAGUAUCCGGCCUGAGAGGGCGGACGGACACACUGGGACUGAGACACGGCCCAGACUCCUACGGGAGCAGCAGUGGGGAAUUGUUCGCAAUGGGCGCAAGCCUGACGACGCAACGCCGCGUGGAGAUGAAGACCU